CCUACGGGAGGCAGCAGUAGGGAAUUUUCGGCAAUGGGGGGAACCCUGACCGAGCAACGCCGCGUGAAGGAAGAAGGAAUUCGUUCUGUAGACUUCUGUUAUAAAGGAAGAAAGGCGGAUGAAGGAAAUGACAUCCGAGUGACGGUACUUUAUGAGAAAGCCACGGCUAACUACGUGCCAGCAGCCGCGGUAAUACGUAGGUGGCAAGCGUUAUCCGGAAUUAUUGGGCGUAAAGAGGGAGCAGGAGGCAGCAAAGGGCUGUGGGAAGAGACUGAAGCUUAACUUCAGUAAGCCAUAGAAACCAGGCAGCGAGAGUGCAGGAGAGGGUCGUGAAAUUCCAUGUGGAGCGGUGAAAUGCGUAGAUAUAUGGCGGAACACCAGUGGCGAAGGCGACGAUCUGGCCUGUAACUGACGCUCAGUCCCGAAAGCGUGGGGAGCAAAUAGGAUUAGAUACCCUAGUAGUC
rnacentral:rRNA from 1 species